rnacentral:rRNA from 1 species
GGAUCCAGACUUUGAUCAUGGCUCAGGACGAACGCUGGCGGCGUGCUUAACACAUGCAAGUCGAACGAGACGAUUGAAAGCUUGCUUUUGAAAGUCGAGUGGCAAACGGGUGAGUAACGCGUAGACAACCUGCCGUAAAGAUGGGGACAACAGUUCGAAAGGACUGCUAAUACCGAAUGUUGUAGAGCUUCCGCAUGGGAAUUCUACUAAAGGUGGCCUCUGCUUGUAAGCUAUCGCUUUACGAUGGGUCUGCGUCUGAUUAGCUAGUUGGUGGGGUAACGGCCUACCAAGGCGACGAUCAGUAGCCGGUCUGAGAGGAUGAACGGCCACAUUGGAACUGAGACACGGUCCAGACUCCUACGGGAGGCAGCAGUGGGGAAUCUUCCGCAAUGGGCGCAAGCCUGACGGAGCAGCGCCGCGUGAGUGAAGAAGGGUUUCGACUCGUAAAGCUCUGUUGUCGGGGACGAAUGUGGAGAUGGUGAAUAACCAUUUUCAAUGACGGUACCUGACGAGGAAGCCACGGCUAACUACGUGCCAGCAGCCGCGGUAAUACGUAGGUGGCGAGCGUUGUCCGGAAUUAUUGGGCGUAAAGGGAGCGCAGGCGGGAAGGUAAGUCUAUCUUAAAAGUGCGGGGCUCAACCCCGUGAGGGGAUGGAAACUAUCUUUCUUGAGUGCAGGAGAGGAAAGCGGAAUUCCUAGUGUAGCGGUGAAAUGCGUAGAUAUUAGGAGGAACACCAGUGGCGAAGGCGGCUUUCUGGACUGUAACUGACGCUGAGGCUCGAAAGCGUGGGGAGCGAACAGGAUUAGAUACCCUGUAGUCCACGCCGUAAACGAUGAAUGCUAGGUGUAGGAGGUAUCGACCCCUUCUGUGCCGGAGUUAACGCAAUAAGCAUUCCGCCUGGGGAGUACGGCCGCAAGGCUGCAACUCAAAGGAAUUGACGG